rnacentral:lncRNA from 1 species
AUAACAAUUAACGCGUCGUGCUCUCCGCUGCGCGGGCGCCUGUUUGUUGUUGCGUUAAAAAGUCAAACGCAACUUCGGCAGAUAAACUUCGGGAGCGAAGCGCCGCCGCCGCCAACCCCCGCGCAGGAGCGGCGCACCGCACCGCGCCGGCCCCGACCCCGCCCGCCGCCCCCGCCGCCCCGACGGGCGCUACCGGACGGGCACCGGGGGCCACCCGACACAGCGCCCGGACGGCGCGGGGAAGCGCUGCCGGGCGGCGACUCACCGUGCGCGGAGCCUCCCGCCGCUCCCCGCUCCCGGCCGCCGUCUGCCUGCGGACGUGACCCGGAUUCCCCCCGCCCGCGCCGCCUCCCGCGAGGCCGCGCACCGCCGCGCUGCGCCCCCCGGCCCCACCCGCUCCGCUCACCUCCGGCCGCGGCCACCGCCGCUCCUCGCCCGCCGUCGGUCCCGGCGCCGUGCGGAGCGCGUUACGCAACGCGGCCCCUCCGCGCCGCGGAGAGGGUCGCCGGGAGGCGGGCGCGGGGCGGGGGGAAGCGCGGCUCGGCAGACGGCGGCCCCGACACCGCCGCCGCUCGCAGCGCCGGACCGGGGCUGCCCCGGGUCACCGCCCUCCGGGAGCACCGCCGGGCUCGCGGGCCGCGGGGAUCUCGGUGCCGAGGGAGGGGGAAUCCCGAGCCCGGAGCUCGGCCCGGAGCCGUCCUCGCGGCUCGGCACGGACACGGGGGAAGGAAGAUCGCCGCGAUCAGAGGCUUUCCCGUGGGCACCGACGCUGUGCCUCAGCCCCGCCGCGGGCACCGGGGUCAGCGCAGCGCUCUCGGCUCCCAGGGCCGCAGCCGGCACACGCCCGCCGGCAUCGGCCAGGGCAGCGACGUGGGCAGAGCGCUACGGGAUCCCCGCGUUGCCCAGCACUUGUUCUGGGGAACCGUCCCUGGGCACAGCGCUGGGAAAUCGGCGGGUGACGGGCCCUGCCCUACACAGCUGGUGCUUAGAAGUGCACCACUGACGGCUGUCCUCGCUGGUCGUGGGGCACGCACUGGUUUGGUUUCAGUCACUGGGAUGACUGUCUGA